AUACGGGGGAUGCAAGCGUUAUCCGGAUUUAUUGGGUUUAAAGGGUGCGUAGGCGGAUGAUUAAGCGUGAGGUGAAAUGCCACUGCUCAACAGUGGAACUGCCUCGCGAACUGGUUGUCUUGAAUGCUCCUGCCGUGGGAGGAAUGUGUGGUGUAGCGGUGAAAUGCAUAGAGAUCACACAGAACACCGAUUGCGAAGGCAUCUCACGAAGGGGUGAUUGGCGCUGAGGCACGAAAGCGUGGGGAUCAAACAGGAUUAGAUACCCUGGUAGUCCACGCAGUAAACGAUGAUAACUAACCGCUGGGUCGUAGUGAUUCAGUGGCCAAGCGAAAGCGAUAAGUUAUCCACCUGGGGAGUACGACCGCAAGGUUGAAACUCAAAUGAAUUGACGGGG
rnacentral:rRNA from 1 species